GUGUUAUUUCAUAGUUGAUGUCUUCACUAUUAUUCUACAACGUAGAGAGAAAUCCUUGAAUGAGUAGGUGUUCUACUACCUUUGAUCGGUAGUCUACAUCCUAAACAGCUCAAGUUUCUUUCCAUUCAUAACUAUUAAUCCAACCCUUCCCCAUUACUCUUCUAUUUCCACGAGUACAUGGGACCUGAUGGGGUUGGUGAAUACCAGCACAUGGUCCUCCUGGCCAAGAGUCUGGUGAGGCUGCUGGAGGGGCCAUGGAUCUCCAAUAGGCACAAAGGAGAUCAUGGCUCUCUGGGGAAAUCUUCCAGAGAGAGACAAGGCGGCCGUCUCCUACCCUGAGAGAUUCUGGAACCGAGUCUUGCAGGGGCACUUCAAAAACUCAGACCUCAACCGUGAAGGGGGAAGAGCUGCACAUUGUUCUAAUCUCACUAACUCACUUCACACAAAGCCAUGUGUGUAUUUCUCAUUAACAUGAUGUUUCCUUUUUUAAAUCUAAUUUCAGCUCCCUGCUUGGGCAAGGCAAUUGACCUGCUCAGUGGCCCAACACCAGCAGGAUAGUAGAGGCCAUUUUCAUUGAGUUGUGCCACAAACACCCUGCUGGCAAGACUGCUUGGGAACCAGGUCAACAGUUGGGCUGCCAUCCUGGGGGACUACAAGAGAAUCAGGAACAUGGUGCUGGGCAGCCCAAACCUGAAGAUCCAUACAACGCUGCAACUGUUCGAGGUCAACAAGUUGACCUUGACACAGUGUUACUGAUAAUUACAAUUAUCACACAGGUACAACAAUAGGAGGUCCUCCAUGAAGAGAGUGACCCUUCCACACUGCAGUCAGGAGCACACCACCGCUGCCAGCCCCGUCAACCAGCAGCACUUACUGUACCAGCUUCCAGAGGACCGAACGGGGCAGGCCACCCAGUCUGCCUACCACCUCCCUCCCAAUAACUCCAGUCUCCUAAGACCUGCACUCCUCUGCCCCCUCCUGCUGGUGGACCCAAGGUCUCUAGGACCACCAAAUGGAGUAGGAAGAGGCUGGAAAUAAAGUCAGGGCGCACAAGCCCUAUGAAGGAUACAACUGUUCUAAAUGUGGCAAGCCCAAAACUUGUGAAUUUGGACACUUUAUGGAACUGUGCGAUUCUGUGCCACUACCUCUGGCGGCCAAAUUGUGGAAGAGUGGCUGGCAGUGAUGAGGUCCCAGAAUGGUGCUAGCCAGGCCCAGUAAACUGACUGGUGUGUACAUAGUCAUUUUUGUAAAUGUUGAUCAUUUUCAAAUCACCUAGGAGACAUGCUGUGUUGGGCACACAUGACAUUCCCUGUGAGUCAAUAAUAAUUGAAUACAUUCUUUACUUAAAUCACUUUCUCCCUUGAAAUUCAUUCUGAUUUAUUUUCAUACACUUUAUAAAGUUUAACAAAUCAAAAUACAAGUAAAUCAGUCAAUUUUAUACUCAGACUUGUGGUGACAGCAGGGAGUCAACACCCCCCCAAGCCCCCUACGACACCCAUUUAUCUUUGAUUGGUUGCUGCACACCUUCACUUGUUGAAGUUUGGGACAGUCUCAGGGAUAGUCCCAGUUUCCCAAGAUCUACUACUGGAUAAAGCUUUACAGAGGGCUAGCUUUGGGACUGUGACCAAUGCAGUCUAACUCCACAGAUCAUAAACAAAGCUACAUUGGCUGGAUAAGGCAGUCCAACACUAUAUUUGGAAAAAGGAUAAGCAGGUAAGGCCCAAAGGGCCCAGCUGGGUUGUGACAGAAUAAAAAGGCAGAUAAGUGAAAGAGGAGCACAGCGGUGUGCUGGAAAAUACAAGGACCCACAUCCACACCUGAAAUGUAGCCAUCCAUGGUGGCCUCCAGUUCUAAACAGGCAGUUCCCAGAAGACAAGAACCCGAUACCAGCUCAAACCGGAAGACAAGAACCUGAAGCCAGCUCCAUCUAGAAGUAACAAGGGGGCCCGGAGGACAGCUAAGCAGCGCCCACCAACAAACAACCUCCCUAAUGCUAGAGUUGCUGCUGCUUCCACCCUUGUAAAAAGCCUGACCAGGUCCACAGAUGAUGAGAAUUGCAAAAGGCUGGUCAUGAACCUGUCAGGAAAGAAGGUUACCUGUUGCUUUCCCCUGCAGGAUAUAUGGCAAGCCUAAAAUACAAAUAAUUUGGCCACAGCACUUCUGUGAGGCAGCAGGGGUAGGCCAAACUGUUGUGGAGUGGCUGAAUGAGAAGAGGGCCUUGUCAUCUCAGAGAUACCUCAGAUGCUGAGCUGGUCGUUAUGACCAUAAAAGUUGAAAAGUGUAAUGUUAAUAACUGCAAUACUGAUAUUUUUAAAUCAAGUUUUGGAUUCUGACAGACAUAACUUUGUGUAAUGUAACCUCAUUUUUGUUGUAAUAUUAAAAAUCAGACAAAGGAA